CAUCGGUUUUCCUUCAAUUUGAAGUCAAGAUUUUCGUCGACGCAGUUUGACAGUUCUCUCCAGUUGGACUUGUUUGGACUUGAUCAAAUCAGAGAAACUUUGAAUCGAUUCAAACCAGUUUUACGUUGCAGUAAGGUUUCGUGUGGAUUUUGGCCGGUUGAUUGAUUUCCUGAUUUCGGCCUUCGUGAUGGUGGAGGAGGAGGAGAACGGGUCCCAUCGUUGCUCCAGCGGGCCUUGCCGGAAGACGGGAGGGAAAGGAACCGGUCUGCGAUCGAGGAAGCGGAUUGGCGUUUAACUUUCCGCUGGAGGUGGCGGUGCGUGCCAUACCCAAGGAGGAGGAGGAUCAAACGGCAUGUAAUGGAUGAGGCGGCGUUUCUGAUCCGCCGGAGGUUUUUAUACGGUAACCAAAAACAUUCCAAUCAGAUCCUGCUGACAACCCAGCGUCUCCGUUUUGUCCCACGGAACGGAAGCUGUAACGAUCGCAAAAACACCUGCACCGGACACUUCCGGUAAACUGAUGUUGUCCCGUACUCCGGUGGCCAUCAAUCCGUGGGAAAGAAACGGAAGCAAACUCGAAAAGAUGGCUGACAAAGUCCGGCCAAGAUGCCGAAGUGACGAGAUGAGCUGAAAGGCCAACUGGAAGACAACGCCAAAAAACCACUUAAAGAUCGCGAUACACAACAUCUAAAAUUAAUGAAUGUAUAUGAAAUUUAGUGAAAAAGUUUAAUUUACAGAAAAUAUACAAUACAUCUAAAAAUAAUUUAAAAAUAAAAAAAAUGUCUAUUUUUACUGCAACCUAACCUAAUAAAAACGAAAAAACAGCACACGACAAAGGCACGACAACCUAAAUAACAAAACCGUGCGACGUCGGUCGAAUGUCGUACGACAAUGUCGAACAAUUUCGAUGAUCGAUCGCACGACAAAUACGACAUUUUGGUGCAAAAACGUAUGACAUUCGCGCGAAAGUCGCACGACAUUGUCGUGCGACGUCGUACAAUUGCACGGACGACAAACGACGGACGUCCGACG